rnacentral:rRNA from 1 species
GUGAUGCGGAGCGAAAUACAAGUAGCGAAGUCCGUGAGCCAUGCGUCAAGAAAAGCCGCUAUUGUUUAUACCGUACCCGUACCGUAAACCGACACAGGUGGAUGAGGAGAGAAUCCUAAGGCCGGCGGAAGAAGCAUUGUCAAGGAACUCGGCAAAAUGACCCCGUAACUUCGGGAGAAGGGGUGCCACUGAGAAGUGGCCGCAGAGAAUAGGCUCAAGCAACUGUUUAGCAAAAACACAGGUCUAUGCGAAACCGAAAGGUGAGGUAUAUGGGCUGACGCCUGCCCGGUGCUGGAAGGUUAAGAGGAGAGGUUAGCGCAAGCGAAGCUUUGAAUUUAAGCCCCAGUAAACGGCGGCCGUAACUAUAACGGUCCUAAGGUAGCGAAAUUCCUUGUCGGGUAAGUUCCGACCCGCACGAAAGGCGUAAUGAUUUGAGCGCUGUCUCGACAAUGCAUCCGGUGAAAUUGAAGUACCAGUGAAGAUGCUGGUUACCUGCGCCAGGACGGAAAGACCCCAUGGAGCUUUACUCCAGUCUGGUACUGGGGUCCGGUAUUGCAUGUACAGGAUAGGUGGGAGGCUAGGAAGCAGUGACGCCAGUUGCUGCGGAGCCGCUGUUGGGAUACCACCCUUGCAGUACUGGGCUUCUAACCAGCCGCCGUGAACCGGCGGUGGGACAAUGCCAGACGGGGAGUUUGACUGGGGCGGUCGCCUCCGAAAGGGUAUCGGAGGCGCCCAAAGGUUCCCUCAGAAUGGACGGAAACCAUUCGAAGAGUGCAAAGGCAGAAGGGAGCUUGACUGCGACACCGACGGGUGGAGCAGGUACGAAAGUAGGGCUUAGUGAUCCGGUGGUAUUAAGUGGGAAUGCCAUCGCUCAACGGAUAAAAGCUACCCUGGGGAUAACAGGCUUAUCACUCCCAAGAGUUCACAUCGACGGAGUGGUUUGGCACCUCGAUGUCGGCUCAUCGCAUCCUGGGGCUGUAGUAGGUCCCAAGGGUUGGGCUGUUCGCCCAUUAAAGCGGUACGCGAGCUGGGUUCAGAACGUCGUGAGACAGUUCGGUCCCUAUCCGGCGUGGGCGUAGGAUAUCUGAGAGGAGCUGUCCUUAGUACGAGAGGACCGGGAUGGACGGACCGCUGGUGUACCGGUUAGACUGCCAAGUCUACGGCCGGGUAGCCAAGUCCGGAAGGGAUAAACGCUGAAGGCAUCUAAGCGUGAAGCCCCCCUCAAGAUGAGAUGUCCCAUUCGAAAGAAGUAAACCCCCUUGAAGACGACGAGGUAGAUAGGGCAGGGGUGGAAGUGUGGUAACACAUGGAGCUGACUGUUACUAAUAGGGUGAGGGCUUGACCA